rnacentral:tRNA from 1 species
GGGCCGGUGGUCUAGGUGGUCUAGGACGGUCGCCUCACACGCGACAGAUCCCCGGUUCGAAUCCGGGCCGGCCCA